rnacentral:rRNA from 1 species
GAUCAGCCGCGGUAAUUCCAGCUCCAAUAGCGUAUAUUAAAGUUGUUGCAGUUAAAAAGCUCGUAGUUGAAUUUCGGGAUCAAUAUGUCGGUCGUGCCUUCGGUACGUACUGGCAUCAUUGAUUCCUACCUUCUGACGAACCAUGAUGUCAUUAAUUUGGUGUCAUGGGGAGUCAGGACUGUUACUUUGAAAAAAUUAGAGUGUUUAAAGCAGGCUCACGCUUGAAUACAUUAGCAUGGAAUAAUGAAAUAGGACGUUUGACCCUAUUUUGUUGGUUUCUAGGAUCAACGUAAUGAUUAAUAGGGAUAGUUGGGGGCAUUAGUAUUCAAUUGUCAGAGGUGAAAUUCUUGGAUUUAUUGAGGACUAACUACUGCGAAAGCAUUUGCCAAGGAUGUUUUCAUUAAUCAAGAACGAAAGUUAGGGGAUCGAAGACGAUCAGAUACCGUCGUAGUCUUAACCAUAAACUAUGCCGACUAGGGAUCGGAUGAUGUUAAUUUUUUAAUGACUCAUUCGGCGCCUUACG